ensembl:piRNA 21ur-1408 ncRNA
UUGCAAAUAGAAAGGUGGCAA